CCAACGAUGCAUCUAGCAAGUAGACCCUUCUCCUGCCCAGUGUUUCCAUCCUUGAUAGAGAUGGCUUUCUUGUUGCGGUUUAUGACAACUUCCGAUGCUUCCUUGGACUGCCACUUGCUGGUUCUGACCGAAUCAGCAUAUAGGAUUUUUGGGUCUGCCAUUCUGGGCUUGUCCGUCAAAGAAGGACCUUUUGUAUCUUUA
rnacentral:lncRNA from 1 species